CCUACGGGAGCAGCAGUGGGGAAUUUUGGACAAUGGGCGCAAGCCUGAUCCAGCAAUGCCGCGUGAGUGAAGAAGGCCUUCGGGUUGUAAAGCUCUUUUGUCAGGGAAGAAACGGCUGAGGCUAAUAUCCUCGGCUAAUGACGGUACCUGAAGAAUAAGCACCGGCUAACUACGUGCCAGCAGCCGCGGUAAUACGUAGGGUGCAAGCGUUAAUCGGAAUUACUGGGCGUAAAGCGUGCGCAGGCGGUUUUGUAAGUCUGUCGUGAAAGCCCCGGGCUUAACCUGGGAAUUGCGAUGGAGACUGCAAGGCUUGAAUCUGGCAGAGGGGGGUAGAAUUCCACGUGUAGCAGUGAAAUGCGUAGAGAUGUGGAGGAACACCGAUGGCGAAGGCAGCCCCCUGGGUCAAGAUUGACGCUCAUGCACGAAAGCGUGGGGAGCAAACAGGAUUAGAUACCCUGGUAGUCCACGCCCUAAACGAUGUCUACUAGUUGUCGGGUCUUAAUUGACUUGGUAACGCAGCUAACGCGUGAAGUAGACCGCCUGGGGAGUACGGUCGCAAGAUUAAAACUCAAAGGAAUUGACG
rnacentral:rRNA from 1 species